UCUACCACUUCAGUGCUCGCUGAAUUCCUCUAUAGAAUGGGCUAAAUACGGCAAUACUCAGCGAAGUGACGACCAUUAUUUUAGCGUAAGGACAAUGUAAAAAAUUCGGUUAUGUACUAUCUCCAUUAAGGUAGUGAGUGUUAAAUGCAAAUUGUGUAUUAGGUUUCAAAUUCAAAUAAUAGUGAUCGAUAACGUGUCUGACUACGUACAUAUCUUAUCUAUCGUGAUUUAAUCACGCACAACCGCUCAUUCGAAAUCUACAUGAUAACCUAGAAGCUGCAUGUGACACACUGUACUUGGACAGAUUACUGCCAAAGUUAUACAUUCUACAUCCACUUUUCUAAUGAUAAAUGCCUUAAGAAUCGAUUUUGAUAAUGAAUUUUGAACUCUUUGUAGUGUUGGUAUUAAUUUUUGUUUUUUUGCUGUCAUGCGGGGGAUUGAUCCAAAAAGUCAGGCAAAGUUAUGAAGAGAGAGCACACAUAAUAGCAGUACAGAGAGUUUCAGCGGCUCGCCAAAUCCAUCAUAAUCAAGGUUAUUACGACGAUAGUUCAACAGGCGUCUUUCCAGGAGGCUUAUGUCCACCACCGUAUACAGAGUAUAACGAUCCUCCCCCAAAAUAUGAAGAAAUAGUAAAGGAAUCUAUUGUCGUCAAUAUGCCGCAAGUGCUCGCCCACAGUACGCAAAUCAAUUCACAGAAUAGUAACAAUGUUAGAGUUUAAGUACGUAUUCAUAAAAUAAAAAACAAAGGCAAUAUGUUUUUAAUGCUGUGAUAAUAAGCUCUUAUUACUUAACACCAAAACUGGUCUAUGAAAUAAAAUGUCUCAAAAGAAA